UACGGAGGGUGCGAGCGUUAAUCGGAAUUACUGGGCGUAAAGCGCGCGUAGGCGGUUUGUUAAGUCAGCUGUGAAAGCCCCGGGCUCAACCUGGGAACUGCAGUUGAUACUGUCCGACUAGAGUACGAGAGAGGGAGGUAGAAUUCCAUGUGUAGCGGUGAAAUGCGUAGAUAUAUGGAGGAAUACCAGUGGCGAAGGCGGCUCACUGGACUGGUAUUGACGCUGAGGUGCGAAAGCGUGGGGAGCAAACAGG
rnacentral:rRNA from 1 species